CUGACAGUAGGCUUCUUUUAAGUGGAAGCAAGGACUGCACGCUGAAGGUUUGGGAUAUAAGGACACAGAAGUUAAAACAAGACCUUCCAGGCCAUGCUGAUGAGGUAUAUGCUGUUGAUUGGAGUCUGGAUGGCGAGAAGGUAGCUUCUGGAGGCAAGGAUAGGGUAGUGAAGUUAUGGAUGGGCUAGACCUAGCAGAGGAGUAUAUGGUAGAAAUUUCAAACCUAAUAAUAGUUGGCAGUUUCAAUGGACAGCAAAUGAUGUGAUGAUAUCUUGACACUGAGCAGUGGGCAGAACAGCAUGAUAAAAGAAAACUGAAAGGAAUGUCUAUAGAAUGGUCAGUGGAAGAAGCAAGCAAGCCUAUUUUCACUGUAAUUUUGCCAUCGUUGUUUGUGGUGUUUGCAGAUUGCAAAUUAAGAAUCUAGGGCCAUAAACCAUGUCAGUGAUUUAACAAAUAACAAACAGAAGUUAAAACAGGCAUCUUUUAUUUCUAGCAAAUAUUGGAAAAUCAGUCUUUCUGCUGUCAUAAAUGGAAAAGUCCAUUAUUUAUUUUUCAAUUU
rnacentral:misc_RNA from 1 species